rnacentral:lncRNA from 1 species
CGGGGCGCCACCUGUAUUCGUCAACUCGCCCUAACCAAGCUUGGGGCACCCUCUCCAAUGGUACGCCCCGACCCUUGAGCCGGGGGUGCUCCGCUGAGCAUACCUUGAAAUUCGAGAUGCUAGGCCAACCUCAGCACCCGUCAGAUCGUCCUCACCAAUUGCAUGAUGUGACCUCUCGACGAGCUUAGCCCUACCAAUAGCUGCACCUAUGUGCGUGCCUACGUCCUCCAACGUGGUUAGACAUAGCAACACUACCAUACCAUGCUUUGCUUGCUGAUCCACGAUAGCCAAGGAUAGCACUAUGCUACUCCGGCCAUACCCUGCUACGACU